AAAGUACGUGAAACCGUUCAGGGGUAAACCUGAGAAACCCAAAAGAUCGAAUGGGGAGAUUCAUCGUCAGCGGCGUUGGCUUUUGUGCGGUUCGUGAUGUCCGGGACUUCGGUCUCGCGGCACGCGUCCGCUGCGGUAGUCCAGCGUCGUCGGCGUGCACUUCUCCCCUAGUAGGACGUCGCGACCCGUUGGGUGCCGGCCUACGGCCCGGUUUGUCGCCUGUAUCGUCGCGUUCACGCGCGUUCGUUACAGACUUACCGGUCGCCCGGCCGGCUGCUCGGCGGUAUAGAUCGAUAUUAUACGGUAAUGAGCCGCACUAAGUGCGUUCUGGCUCGUCGGCAGGCUCGUCUCGCUCGGAUUUACGGACCAAGUGCCGUUGCCGGGUGCUUGGCGUGGCCGUUAGUCGACGAUGUCCUCGAACUGGCUCUUACAUUCGAAAGGAUGUACCGGUCGGCGACGCUAUUGCUUUGGGUACUUUCAGGACCCGUCUUGAAACACGGACCAAGGAGUCUAACAUGUGCGCGAGUCAUUGGGACUUGUAAGCCUAAUGGCGCAAUGAAAGUGAAGGUCGGCCUUUGCGUCGACCGAGGGAGGAUGGCUCGCGUUACGAUGCGAGCCCGCACUCCCGGGGCGUCUCGUGCUCAU
rnacentral:rRNA from 1 species